rnacentral:rRNA from 1 species
UACGAAGGGGGGCUAGCGUUGCUCGGAAUCACUGGGCGUAAAGCGCACGUAGGCGGAUUGCUAAGUCAGGGGUGAAAUCCUGGAGCUCAACUCCAGAACUGCCUUUGAUACUGGCGAUCUUGAGUCCGGGAGAGGUGAGUGGAACUGCGAGUGUAGAGGUGAAAUUCGUAGAUAUUCGCAAGAACACCAGUGGCGAAGGCGGACUCACUGGCCCGGUACUGACGCUGAGGUGCGAAAGCGUGGG